UACGGGGGGGGUAAGCGUUGUUCGGAAUUACUGGGCGUAAAGGGCUCGUAGGCGGCCAACUAAGUCAGACGUGAAAUCCCUCAGCUUAACUGGGGAACUGCGUCUGAUACUGGAUGGCUUGGAUUCGGGAGAGGAAUGCGGAAUUCCAGGUGUAGCGGUGAAAUGCGUAGAGAUCCGGAAGAACACCGGUGGCGAAGGCGGCCUGCUGGGCAGUGGCUGACGCUGAGGCGCGACAGCGUGGGGAGCAAACAGG
rnacentral:rRNA from 1 species